rnacentral:rRNA from 1 species
AGCGAACGCUGGCGGCAGGCCUAACACAUGCAAGUCGAACGAACCUUUCGGGGUUAGUGGCGGACGGGUGAGUAACACGUGGGAACGUGCCUUUAGGUUCGGAAUAACUCAGGGAAACUUGUGCUAAUACCGAAUGUGCCCUUCGGGGGAAAGAUUAAUCGCCUUUAGAGCGGCCCGCGUCUGAUUAGCUAGUUGGUUGAGGUAAUGGCUCACCAAGGCGACGAUCAGUAGCUGGUCUGAGAGGAUGAUCAGCCACAUUGGGACUGAGACACGGCCCAAACUCCUACGGGAGGCAGCAGUGGGGAAUCUUGCGCAAUGGGCGAAAGCCUGACGCAGCCAUGCCGCGUGAAGGAUGAAGGUCUUAGGAUUGAAAAAUUCUUUCACCGGGGACGAUAAUGACGGUACCCGGAGAAGAAGCCCCGGAUAACUUCG